UCCCUGAUAGCUCAGUUGGUAAAGAAUCUGCCUACAAUGCAGGAGACCCCGGUUUGAUUCCUGGGUUGGGAA
rnacentral:tRNA from 1 species